rnacentral:lncRNA from 1 species
CGUUAGUCUUGGGGGCAGCUGGAGGUUGGCUGAUCCAGGCUGGUGCACUCAUGCACCUGCAGGUCGGCUGGGGGUCAGCUCAAGGCUGGGCUCGGCCGGCACACGGUAGCUGGGCAGCUCUGCUCCACGUGUAUCUCUUGUCCUUCUCCUGGGACCAACAGACCAGGCCGGGCAUGAACUUCUCGUGGCGAUGACAGGAGCACAAAUGAGUAGGUAGAAAUAGGCCAGGCCUCUGGAGGCCAAGGACUGGAACUGAUGCACAGUCUCUCCUACCCACCUCUUCUAUCGGCCAAACGUGUCACAUUGCGGGGAGGGAAAUAUACUCUACAGUUUUGGGAAAUCAAAGUCACGUGAGAAGGGCGGGGUUACAAGGGAAGAAUUAGGGCCAGGAAUGCAAUUGAUCUGUUCUAUUGAUUAUCAUCAUUGCUGUUUAUAUUUAAAUGCAGAAUUUGAAUCAAAAUCUUCCGGCACGGGGCUGGAGGAUCUCCACCUUGCGAACUUUUCCUGGUGAACCCGACACAGCUGGUCUGGCUGAGGGGCUCCUAGUCCACUUUCACAAUCAGCAGGUCAUAAGGAUCAUCUGUGGCUCUGAUGAAAAAGCCAGACUCCUAGGCUGCUUCCCCGGAGAUUUCAGACGCCGAUUCUUAACCAAACAUCUUGCACCCAAAACUCCAGCUCAGAAUCUCCUCCAGGAGAACCCAACCUGCAACAGGACUCAAAAGCAACCAUGGUGGUGUGGAGAGGGGGCUUCAGCCGUGGCAAUUAACUUUGCUAAGGGGCGCACACGGGCGAAGGGAGGCGUGCAUCACAUGAAAUCAUGCUCCUAAGGAAGCCUUGGCCGACUCAAGCGCGGUAGACACCUAAACAUUUAAAUCACCUUUUCCUAUUGAUUAAGGAGGACAACCUAAGACCUCGUGAGAGCAACCCUUGGCUGACAGCUAACGAGAAAACAGAACCCUCAGUUCUGUGACUGCAAGGAACCGACUUCUGUAAACACCUGGACAAGUCUGGAGGAAGACGCCAAACUAAGCUGUGGCCAACACCUUGAUUUCAACCACAUGGGACCCUGAGCAUAGAACCCAGCUAUGCUGGCUCCAGACUUUAGAGCCAUGAAAACCGUGAGAUAACAAACAUAGGUUGUUUUAAACCACUGUAUUUGUGGCAAGGGUUUGCAACAAUUAAAAACUAGCACAAAGUUAAAACGCAACAUUUAACUUUUCAAAGUCAAUCAGGAAGCAUAAUAAGGUUCUUUUGACAGACUUCCUUCCCCGUUUGAAGUUAGAGACAAUGGAUCACAAUAACAAAUUUUAAUUCAGUCUCACAUCGAGCUUUAUCCAGAGUAUUGUUGAGUAUCAAGAAUAUCCAGAUUCCCAGAUGCAUAGUUAUUAAUAGCUCAAUUGGCAAAUUCUGGGUGCUCUUCCGUUAUACAGAGCUGAGAAGAGAAGCUUAACAUCAGAGUCCGUCCCAGGGAAAUUUUGCCUGGCAGUCCAAGUUAAUGAUCUGGUGGUCCUGGCUGUGUUAAAUUCGGUCUCCAACAUCUUGAGAGUUGUAGGGAUUUUUAAAAAUUACAGUUUUAAAAAUAGCUAAAACUAUGUUUUUAAAAGAAUUUUAAGUGAAAUAUUUGGGAAAUCUCUGAAGGGCGUCUAUGAAAUCCAGGGCUCAGGAGACAAAGGCAGCAUCCAGAAUUGGCAAUUUACCUGAGGUCUUUCCAGCUGCACCUUUUUUAUUGAUCUGAAAUUACCUUAGUGGGGGCCUUAGCCUUCUUUCACACGAUCUUAGAAGGAGAGUAGGUUACAAGUAUUUAUACACACACGGAUGUGAGUGUGUGUGUGUAUAUAUAUAUGGCGUUCUAUGUGAAUGUAUUCAAAGGAAGCAUUGUAUAUGUAUACAUAUGAGACAUUAUAUAUGUGCAUAUACAUGAGGCUUUGUGUGUGUGUGUGUGUGUAUCUAUGGCAUUAUCGCUGUGUAUGUAUUUCUGGAAAGGGAGUAGGGGUGGAGCUAAGGGCACUGAGGAAUACAGGCCAAUGUGUGUAUAUAUAGAAAAUAAUUUGAGAAUGUAUAUACAAUUAUUUGAGAAUUUAAUAGUUACUGUCUUUAAGUUAAACUUUAAUCCUCUGCUGAGUUUUUAUUUUCUAUCCAGUGAAGGAGAUCCUCUCACCACCGGGGACAAAGAGGUUUGGUGUCUGUCAAGCCUGCCCUGGAACUCUGAUUCCAGUUGUGCAAAGAGACACGGUCUAGAACAGAGUUUUCAACCCCAGCCCUGUUGACACUUGGGGUCAGAUAAUGUCUCAUGCGUUGUAGGAUGUUUAGCAGCAUCCCUGGCCUCUACCCACCAGAUUCCAGUAGCAGCCCCUCAAACCGCUCCAAGUCAUGAUAACCGAGAUGCCCCCUGGGGCACUGCCCCAGUCAAGAGCUCUGCUCUGGAGGGACCCGGCUUCAGGCACAGAGCAGCUGUUCCCGAAAUAACGUUUCUUCUUCUUUUAGGCUUCUGCCACCUGGCACUCAGUAUUCAGGGAUCUUCAGUCCUCUCAAGCAGGAAAAUUUUGUGGAACUCUAGACUGCAGUAGACAUAAUCCAGAAAUUAUAAAUUUUUAAAGAUCCCCGUUUCAGAAAUGGGGAAACUGAGACCCAGGGAGGGGAAGGAGCUUGCCCACGGGCACACGAGAGCCAGGGACUGGCAUGUAAAUGUUCCCUGGCUGACCAGCUCCCCCAUCUUCUCUCUCACCACC